UGACACCAACUAAAUGAAUGAAUACUACUGUACAAGAUAAGAAAGUAAAAUAUGAACAAUAGACUCAAAAACAUAAAAAGUCUCCUCAAGCAGCUCCAUGGUCCUGGGGUAUCUAUCAUGCUCGAGUCCUGGUACAUGGAUCCGUAUCUGAAUGAGAAAAAUAAGACCAAAUAGAUCAGUGACUCAAGACACUAUGCAACACCACAACACCUCCUAUUGGACACAUGCAAGUCACGAUUGGGCUAUUUUUGAAAAUUAACCCACCUGGCCAAAAGUGGUUAAAGAGGCAAAAUCAAAAAAGGACAGACCUUAAAUUCAUAUGACACAUACUUUAUUGGUAAUUGAACCACUUUUGCGAAAAUAACCCCAUUUUGCAUCGGCCAAAAGUGGCUAGACAUGCAAAUUUAACAGGAAUGGACCUUAAAACUGAGAGGACACCUUGUUGUGGGCUUAGGACUCUAAGACAUGGGUUAACAAGCCACUUUGUAAAAAUAUCCCUAUUUUGCAAAACAACCGAUGUGGCCAAACGUGGCUAGACAUGCAAGAUUUGGCUAAGACCCCGCGAAGCCAAGAACCUAAGACACUAGGAAGACCGGACCUUGUGUGCGUUGCCUACGUAUCCCGCACCGAAAGACGAGAAUCAGGUUCGCGUAGUUCGGAAAGAUUAGAUAUAUGAUAGAAUUAAAAAAAUGCAUCUGAUUUGAAAAAACACUAUAGUUUUGUCUUUUUUUAAAAAAUGGUGGAAAUGUAAAAUCUUUUUGGAUUUUUGAUUUUUUUGGAAAAUGAUGGGAAAGUAUAAAAUCUUUUUGGAUUUUUCAUUUUUUGUAUUUUGAUUUUUUUUUGAAAAAGUUGAGAAAGAAAAAUAUAUUUGGGCCCUACUUGCUUCAUUUUUCACCCUUCUUUCCCAAACAUAGGUCUGCCAAAUGACCUUUUUACCAUCAAAGAUGCAACAUGUAUCACAUAGAGAUGAUUGAAUAUCUUUUUGGGCAACGGGCCCAUUUUUGACAAAAUUUGGAUAGGCUUCCUACAAAGGGACACAGUGCCUCAGACCGAGCCCUACUAGGUGUAAAUGACAUGAUGAAAAUAAAAAUGACCUAAAGGCUGACCUAAGUUUGGGGUUCACUAACAAGGCAAUUCAGGGGAGCGUAUGGUCGAUGGUGGCUGCUCAAGCUUUCCAUCCACUCCAUACGUCCGACGGUCCCCUCCUAAAAUAAGGGUGACUCAACAAAGAAUUCAUGUACAUGAUGCAUACUCCGAGACUUGUUGCAGAAAAAAGACCCAUUGUUAUACAAAUGAUGAUAGUUUAUAAAGAAGUAACACAUUAAGAAAAGCGAUAAACAAAUAAACAACAAAACAAGGAAAUAAGACAAAUAAAGCAAAUAAAGAAAACAAACAACUCAACCAAAUAUCCUAAAAGCCAACAAGAUCAAGUACCAGCUCGAACCUGCAACUCCCCAGUAGAGUUGCCAGAGCUGUCACACCCUUUUUUUACAAACUUCACUAACCCUCUUAAAAUAUAUAAAAUGAUUUUUGAAGCUCAAAAGGAUUUUUAAUUAAAAAGUGACAAAGUCAUGUUCAAAAGGAUUUUUCAGAGUCGCCACAUGACAUUGGUUUCGGUGUGUCAGGUCACCGUUUUUUAGAAAUAAGUUUUCCUUUUAAAACACUUUGGACUCCAAAACUAAGUCUGCACCAGAGAUUCAGGUCAGGGGGUUCAUUUGACUCGGGGAGAAGGUAUUAGGAACUCCCCAAAUCUCGUAACUGGUACGGUUGCAUACUUGAUCUAAUCAGCUUUUAAAAUAUUCAACUUGAGGUAAAAAUAAACACAAAAAAGAAAAAUAAACACAAACGAAGCUCGAGGUCAUUCCCACCUAAUAAAAGAAAAAUGAAAAUUUAAAAUAAAAAUAAAAAUGCUAUGAGUUCUAUAUUCGGCCUCUAAAUACAAAUAAUUUGGGGCAUACCCCGGAUAAAAUAUAUACAAAUUUUGCAGGGUAUUCCCCGGAUAAUAAACUAAAGGAAUGACCUCUCACCUCAAUUCGAAUAUAAGAAAUGACCUAUAGUUUGCCUACCCGGGUGUUGACGGGCCUAACAUGCUCCUAGCGGUCAGAGUUAAUAAAAUAAAUAAAGCGAUAACCUAUAAGCUCAAAUCUUCUUUUAUUUUUAUACCCAAUCCCAUGUCCCGUUCCAAAGAUUUUUUUAAGACCUUAAUCACCUAAAAUCCCAUACUACUUGUUCAAUCAAGCACACAAAAUAUCCAACACGAUGACAAAGCAGUCAAAUAUGUACAAUCAAUUUGAAAAAAAGACCAUGUGAAUUAAACGAGGUGCCGGCUCAUUAAUCAUUUUUAUUCCAGCCACCAAUCCAUCUAUCUAAUCUACUGAUUUGAUUUACUUAUCACUAGAUUGUUAAUUCUAAAGCUUUAGAAACUUAAUCUCCUAAGGAGGCAUUGCAACAAAACUAAAAACUCAAAAUUAGCUAUUAAAUUCAUCCAUAUAAAAGGUAGAGCUAAAUGACAUAAAAACGAUAAUCAAGAGCAUAAAGUAUCAUCCGAAUAAAUGACAAGGAAAAGAAGGGAACAAGAAUUGGACCUUCGCAGCAAAGCUUCAAUAUUUGAUUAAAGAAAAAUCAAGGAGAACUUGACUAUGAAUUAAUCUUUACAGCAGAUAUUAGUACCGAAACCUUGAUAGGAAAAUGGAACCUCGAACGGCAGACCCUGCUGGUGGAACCUCGACGUGUGAAUGAACAAUGGCCUCGAACAAUGACCUUCUACAACUUCAAAGCUCGCCGAAACACUCGGACUAAAAUAGAAAUUAAAACUUUAAAAUAUCUAAUGCCCCAUUUGACACGAAAACAAUAAAUCUGUAGUAGUUGCAACUGAAAAGGCUGAAGGAAUGGUGGUGAAAUGGUUGAGUUCACAUGGCUAUGCGUGGGAGAGUAUGAAUAAUAAAAUAGUGUUUAUGGGUGGUGGAACUUCGGC
rnacentral:lncRNA from 1 species